rnacentral:lncRNA from 1 species
GCCGUAUUGCUUUGAAUCUUAGUUGAUCGGCAUAUUGACCUCCACUUUGGUUCCCAUUGGAUAUUAUUGAUUUAAUCACCCUCGAUCUUUGUUAAACUACCUAUCUUUUAGCUUAAUCAAGUGCAUGAAGUUAUGAUGAUCAGAUUGACCUAGACUGUUGGAUAUGACUAUCCAUUAAUUCUCUUUCUAUAAUUAUUUGUAUCCCUCCUAAUCAUUGGACUUGAUUUUGUGCAGAAGUGUGAU